GACGAACCGUGCGAACGUUAUUCGGAAUCACUGGGCUUAAAGCGCGUGUAGGCGGACGGGAACGUCGGUCGCUGAAAUCCCCCGGCUCAACCGGGGGAACGGGCGCCGAAACGACCCGUCUCGAGGGACGUAGGGGGACCUGGAACUUCCGGUGGAGCGGUGAAAUGCGUUGAGAUCGGAAGGAACGCCCGUGGCGAAAGCGAGGUCCUGGACGUCUACUGACGCUGAGACGCGAAAGCUAGGGGAGCGAACGGG
rnacentral:rRNA from 1 species